GACGAACGCUGGCGGCGUGCUUAACACAUGCAAGUCGAGCGGUAAGGCCCUUUCGGGGGUACACGGGCGGCGAACGGGUGAGUAACACGUGGGUGACCUGCCCUUAGCUCUGGGAUAAGCCUGGGAAACUGGGUCUAAUACCGGAUAUGACUCCAUGACGCAUGUUGUGGGGUGGAAAGCCUUGUGCGGCUAGGGAUGGGCCCGCGGCCUAUCAGCUUGUUGGUGGGGUGAUGGCCCACCAAGGCGACGACGGGUAGCCGGCCUGAGAGGGCGACCGGCCACACUGGGACUGAGACACGGCCCAGACUCCUACGGGAGGCAGCAGUGGGGAAUCUUGCGCAAUGGGCGAAAGCCUGACGCAGCGACGCCGCGUGAGGGAUGACGGCCU
rnacentral:rRNA from 1 species